rnacentral:RNase_P_RNA from 1 species
GCGGAGGGCUGGACGGUCGCGCGAUGCAAAUCGUGAGGAAAGUCCGGGCUCCAUCGGAGCGAUGACGCCGGGUAACGCCCGGCCGGGGCAACCCGAGGGACAGCGCCACAGAGAACAGACCGCCCCUGACAUCAGGGGUAAGGGUGAAACGGUGGGGUAAGAGCCCACCGCGGCCUUGGCAACAAGGCUGGCAUGGCAAGCCCCGUCAGGAGCAAGGCCGAAUAGGGACCGCGCGGGGGCAUGACCCCCAGGGAUGCUCCUUCCCAGUGGUCCGGGUUGGCUGCAUGAGCGCAGGAGCGAUUCUGCGCCCAGACGAAUGACCGUCCACGAGUGGUACUUCAUACCACUUUGGACAGAACCCGGCUUACAGGCCCUCCGCACAU